rnacentral:rRNA from 1 species
AGCCAGACUCCUACGGGAGGCAGCAUUGGGGAAUAUUGCACAAUGGGGGAAACCCUGAUGCAGCGACGCCGCGUGAGUGAAGAAGUAUUUCGGUAUGUAAAGCUCUAUCAGCAGGAACGAGACAAGACGGUACCUGACUAAGAAGCCCCGGCUAACUACGUGCCAGCAGCCGCGGUAAUACGUAGGGGGCAAGCGUUAUCCGGAUUUACUGGGUGUAAGGGGAGCGUAGGCGGCGAUGCAAGUCAGAAGUGAAAGCCCGGGGCUCAACUCCGGGACUGCUUUUGAAACUGUGUUGCUAGAUUGCAGGAGAGGUAAGUGGAAUUCCUAGUGUAGCGGUGAAAUGCGUAGAUAUUAGGAGGAACACCAGUGGCGAAGGCGGCUUACUGGACUGUAACUGACGUUGAGGCUCGAAAGCGUGGGGAGCAAACAGGAUUAGAUACCCUCGUA